AAACCUGUAAACAGCAUCCUUCCAUGGCCUCUGCAUUAGCUCCUGCCUCCAGGUUCCUGUACUGUUUGAGUUCCUGUUCUCACUUCUUCCAAUGAGGGACUACAAUAUAUGUCCCUCCAUUCUCAACGUGGCUCCAACCACACUCAUCUCCCAGUAGAGAAGUUUCUAAUAACCUUCAAAAUGCUGAUUGACCCUCCAUUCCCAUGAGGCUCAAAUGGCACAAAACAGCAGGAAGGUAGACUUUCAAACAACUCUCCACAAGGUCACAACAGCCUCUCAAUGAAGACAGAAAAUCGUGGCACGUUGGUCUUGAACAGUGGUGACUGUUUUCAUUAACACAGAAAGCAAUGUUAUGAAAGGAAAAUGUGGACAACCCUUGUUCCUUUCAAUUAUAUAAGAUGCUAUACUUCUUAACAAGUUUGCAUGGCAUGAAGACUUCCAUUCGUUUCAUUGUGGACUUGGAGAAGGAAAGAUUAGAAGAGCCAGAAGAUUAGAGAGUUUUGCUGUGAGGUCGUGUCUCCUAGGAAUGUCAGAAGAUAUAACCGUGAAGUCUCACCAACAUGUCUGUCUAAACAUGGCUUGAACAAGUAUGAUACCAAUAGACUGAAAGAGAAAAGCUCAGGGCCUCAACCCUAGAUAGAGAACUAUAGGCAGCUAAGGACUACAGAGAGCAGGAGACAUAGUCUUACCCAGCGAAGAGCACACCAACUGGGCAUCCAACACCAAACGGUCAGCCCUGAAAACACACACACAAGUAACAUUUUACAGACCGAGUAGUUUUAUUGAUGUAUUUACAAACACACACACAUGUAACAACAAUUAGAGAAAAAUAGGCCAUGAGCUUGAAAGACAGCAAGGUGGGGAUACAUGGGAAGGUUCGGAGGGAAAAGCAGGAAGGAGCAAAUGAGGUAAUCAUAUCAUAAUCUCAAAAGAUAUUUGAAACACUUUUAAAAUUUUAAUAUAAAAUUAAAGUAUUACAAGAAAUAUGAAGACCACAUAAAUUUGAUGUGGCAGACAAUAAUUUGAUUCACAGUAUAAGUAAUCUAUUUAUGAAAAAUGGCCAUAUUUCCCAAUGCAAACAUAAACCUAGGGAGUGGCAUUGUUUUAUGUUUUAUCAGAUCACAUGAACAUCAGGAUUAAUAGAAAACAUCUGGGGGUCUUUUGUUCGAUACAGCAGACAUCUGUAGUGAUAUCAUAGACCAUGCAGUUGGGAAGUGAUGUACACUCAUGAUGGGAUAGAAGUGGGCGGGGGAAGGCAAAUUUAUCUUAGAUGAUGAACACAGUUUGAACUAUCCAAGUCUCCAGAGCAUGUAGAGACUGAAUCUCACUAUGAGAACUACUGAUGUAAGGCUAUGAAA